UUUUUUUUUUUUUUUUUUUUUUUUUUGGUUGGUUUUAAUGAUUCCUCCUCCUACUGAGAAUUUUCUUGUUUAUAAAUGCAGGAGUCGACACUUUUCCCAAACUACCUUUUUCUUUUCAGCUCUCACAAUAAUCUAGAGAUGGAACCAGUGUUGGCGCGCAGUCGUUCUAGUUAAGAACUUGACUGCUUCUGGGAGUGGUUGGCUAGACAGCUCUGAGUCUAGAAUAUCAUUUAAUUAAGACCUGCGGGAGAACCCUCUUCCAAAAUAUACUUCGAAAAUAUACUUUUCUUCUUAUUAUAAAAUGAGUGAAGUGUAUGAAACAAGGAGAGUAUGAAGAAGAGAAUAAAAAUCACCUAUAACUCCCCCCACACUGAUAACAUUUGGUGUAGGUUUUGUUUAUAUCUUUCCAGUCAUUUUUCUAGCCAUAUAUACUGAACAUAAAUGAAAUCGUAUAUACCACUUAGAAUUCUUUUUUUCACUAACCCAUUACAUCUUAAGUAUUUGCUCAUAUGUAUUGUCUACAGUUCCAUUUCUAAUGACUACGCAACAUGUACGUAUGUAUAUUUUCUGUGCAUGUACAAUGCUUUAUUGACCCCAUUUCCAGCCACUGAAAUGAAGCAGUUUUAUCCAUUUCAGGCAGGGGGGCAGUAAAUAUAUUUUUGGUUAAAUGUUGGUGUGUAUUCUUGAUUAUUUCCUUAGGGACAUUUUUAGAACUAGAAUGUCCACGGUGAAGCAGAAGGAGUCUGAGGAAAAGAUCAGCAAUACCUCAAGAACAAGUUUGUCCUGCAAAGUGGGAGAAAAUACAGAUUUUUCUCACUAAUGAAAUUAAUAAUUUCUUUCUAUUUAAAAAAUUGGUAAUGACAAAUUCAAUCAGAGGUUCUUUGAAAUAAUCGAUAUGUUUUUCUCCUUGUGGGUUUCUUAACCACAAAACCUAAUCCUAAUAGGAUUAAUAUAGGCUAUUUUUUCUUUCCCAAUUGGCACAUAACUACCUAAGACUUCAUGUAAUCAGUUGAGAUGCUACAAAUGUAUUGCCUGUCAACUCCAAUAAAAAAAGAGGGCAGUUAAUUAAAAGGAUGUCUUGCUGUUAAACAAACUUGCAGUCAAUUGCUUGUAAGUAACAUUUAGUUUGAUAUGUAGUCAGAGGGCAAGAAAAUCAUUGUUCAGAAAGGACUAGCUGUUUAGAACUAUGAAAAGAGGAGUGACUUUAGUGAAGUGGAGAUGAAUGACCUAUUAGUUGGUAUGAUGUCUUCCUUUUAAAAAAUAUAUUCAGGGAGUUCCUGUCAUGGCCCAGCAGAAACGAAUAUGACUAGGAACAAUGAGGUUGCGGGUUCAAUCCCUGGCCUCGCUCAGUGGGUUAAGGACCUAGGGUCUAAUCGGAGCUGUAGCCACCGGCCUACGCCAGAGCCACAGCAACUCAGGAUCCAAACCGCGUCUGCAACCUACACCACAGCUCACGGCAACGCCAGAUCGUUAACCCACUGAGCAAGGGCAGGGACCGAACCUGCCACCUCAUGGUUCCUAGUCAGAUUUGUUAACCACUGUGCCACGACGGGAACUCCCCCUCACUCUGUCUUUUAUGCUUGCCUGCCAGAUGUCAGUCCUCCUUCCGCGCAGAUCUGAUUAUAUCAUUUCUUUAGACACCAGUCGUUCAAAUUCUUCUCAUCCAUUCUGUCCUCCUUAACCUAACCUGUGAGGCCUCUGUACCUCGAACCUUGCCUGCCAUUCUAGGUAUAUUUUCUUCAUCCUCCUCUUCUCUGUGUUCUAGCCUAAGCAAGACACUGCUCCUUCUUUGAUUCGAGCGCUCAUUUCUGGGCCCUCAUAUUCUGCAUUUUUUUUAAAAGCUAAAAAGGUGUUCUUUAUUUCUGCCAACGUCAUUUCACAUGUUGGGAUCCUUUUGUUCUUCAAAUCCCUUCUCUUCCAUGCAGUUUUCUCGGAGUAGGAUUUCCCUUCCUUUGAAUUUCCUGAAUUCUUCCCGCGUAUGCGUGUCCGUGUGGGCGAGUGUCUGUAAGGGAGGGAAAAGAACUUUUAGCCCUUGGUCUCGUAUUUCAUUUAUUUAUGUGCUUGUCUUAUCUAGUCCCCCAAAGAUAGGAGCCUUGCAUUUUGAUUGUUGUAACUCCUAUAAGAGCUGAUCGACUCUCUUAAAUAUAGUAUAUUAUGAAUAAAUGUUUCUGGAGUGAAGGAACGUUUCAACCUCUAAAAAAUAUCGGAGAUGUAAAAAACUAAACUCACGGAUGGCAGGCUUUAUGUCAGUGUCAAGAGAGUUCUCAGGAGUUUCGCAACUUUUCAUUUCAAUCAAUCCAAGUGCAAGUCUUAGAGGAAGGAAUCUUGAGAGAAUUGUGGCAAGCCUGCCAUCAGCUUCAUUGCAGUGUCUUCAUUUGCAUGAUAUUUUAUACCGUUUGAAAGUACUUUCACACCAUAUCUGACCCUCUGGUGUAUCCAGGUAGGGUUAGGAAGGGAUAGCUACUCUACUCUCUUAUCAGGUCAUAAAUGAGGGAAGUUUGUUCUGGAAAGUCCUAGUGGCUUGGCCAAUGUUAGGUCAUUAGAUAGUGGCAGCACCUAGCAAAGGAACAUGUAGGCUGGCGGUAACUAUUUGAAGAGCUAUCAUGUGAAAGAAGGUUAAAGCUUAUUUUUAUUCUUUAUGUCCUCAUACAACAGAAAAUAUGUGAGCAAUUUAAGCUCAAUUAAAGAGAAAAAGUGUUUUCACCCAUCCAUAUUCCAAGAUGGUGUCGACUGCCUCUGUUAUUCCCAUGGAGCUCAGGGACAGCGACCUGGCCGACCAGGGGUAGGACAUUUUGUUGCAAAGAGCCACUCAAAAGGCGCAGGUUGACCAAGGCCCCUUCUCAUUUAGCAAUUCUGUGAUUCCUUUUCAGGUUAACCCUGUGCUCCUCUAGCCAUAAUGUUAAAUUUUGAUUUCUGACUUUCUUGAGAAUUUGACCUUAAGCAGAGGUAGCCCGGGUGUGGGACAAUCCACAGUCCAGAUCCCAAAUCUUGCUCUAAACGGGGACCCCCGCCUUAUCCUAGCCUCAUGAAUGACUCUCAGUGGACCCCCUGCAGGUGAGGACGUAAGAGAACAUCUUCUCCCGCAGUCCUGCGGGGCCUAGACUUUCCCGCCCAGGAAGAAGUGAAGUUUGCAGAAAAUCUCACAGAUGCCCUCGUCGCAUGUCGCCAGCCUAGUCUGGCGACUCCAGGCACCUGUCUGCUGUUACGGACGUGGCGGGCCAGCUCAGCAUUCUCUGAGAAUGGCAUAUUCUGUUGGAAGGAGGUACGUAAUUCUAAUGAGCUCCAAACUUUUCCUUGAAACGGGGAGUUGCUUAAAAAGGCAACUGCUGCAGAACAGCCAAAUGGAAAUCAUGAUAUUUCACUGAACUCAGAACCAAAUCUGCCUUUUUUUUCUUUAUAGAAACAUUUUGUGUGCCAUGUGCCUUGGGAGCCAAAAAGAAAUCAUACUUUGGCUCCCUGUUCCACUUUGCUAAGCUCAGAUACUGUAAAUACCCUCCUCUCCUCUCAUAACAUUAAAUUUUUCAUGAAUUCAUCAUAAAGGAGCCACUUUGUAGGUUUGGCUGGUACCAGUGAAAGACUUCAUUUUCUGUUUCACAGUAACUUUUCAGUGCAAAAAAACUAUGGGUGCAAUGUUGAAAGACUAGAAUUAUUCAUCAAGUCUUCGCUGCCUGCAAAUUUAAGAGAAUUUUUCUGAAACCUAUCUGGGAGAAUGCAGACACGGACAUGCAUAUUUUAGACGGUGCUACGUCUCAGCUGUAGCCACCUAAUCUUUCUCAGGGGAAUUGGGGGUAAAAGAAGGCAUGUGCUUUCUCAUUGCUUUAUGGAUUCAGUCAAGAGUCCACACCACCUCACAAAACUUCCCUCUCCUUUCUGUGCUCCUGUAACUCACCAGUGCAGUACAAGGUAGAGUCUUUCAUUGUGCCACCCUCUGAUGGAAGUAGCAGUGACUUCGUCUAGAUGCAGCAGGUGUGCUUCAGGAGGCCGCGUAGUAAAAUGCAGUGGCCCAUCAGAAUCCCCUGGAAGGCGACCCCCAGCCCCCAUGAGUUUCUGGUUCAGUAGAUCUGGGGUGGGGCCCAGGAAUUGGCCUUUUAACAAGUUUCCAGGGAUGCUGAUGCGGCUGGUCUGAGGACUACACCUGGAAAAACCCCGAUGCACGGAAAGCAGGUCAGCUUUACAAGUCAGGAAGCCUUGGUUCUCGUAUUGAGUCUACUCUCAGCCCACCAUGGGUCUGUGGACAAGUCCCUGGGCUGCAGUUUUCUCCUCUGUAAAGAAGGAGUAAUGACUCCUGCGGUGGCUGACCUAGGGUUACUUUGAGAAUAAAAUCUGAGCAUCUGUAGGAAAUCACUUAGCCCUUUUGGAAGGACCUAAAGCCUAUAAUUACUAUAGUGAGAAGAGUUCAAGGAAAGCAACUUGGAGAAGUUUUAAGAUGCAGACAUUCUGUGAAACACAGGCACACAGGUAGUGUUACGGCCAUGCUGAGAAGGGGCCAGCAACAAAGAGAUGGAAAGCUUUUAGAGAGAAAAGGUCAAAUGCCUUGCUUUGGUCACGUCCUGUAUGACAUAGCCAGGCCUUGUUACAUGUUAGAACGGGGUUUCUGAAACAUUCCUGGGAUGCAGAAUUCCCAGAGAUACUUAGAAAUAUACAGAAGCCAGAUGGGCCCAGGCCUAUCAAGGAGCCUAGACUUUCAGGUGAUUCUUCUUUUUCUUUUUUUUUUUUUAAUGGCAAAUAAUUGCUUAUUCCAGUUUCUUUCCAUUCUUUUUCAGAUUCUUUUCCCAUAUAGAUUAUCACAGAAUAUUGAGUAGAGUUCCCUCUUCUAUACAGCAGGUCCCUGUUGAGCAUCCAUUCCAUAUACCAGUGUGCAUGUGGCCAUUCCAAGCUCCCAGUCUUUCCCUCCCUGCCCCCAUCCCCUUUGGUAAUCACAGGUUUGUCUUCAAAGUCUGCUGCUCUCUUUCUGUUUUGUAAAUAAGUUCAUUUGUAUCUUUUUUUUCUUUUUUUUUAGGUUCCACAUGCAUGUGAUAGCAUCUAAUGUUUGUCUUUCCCUGGUUCCCUUCACUUAGCAUGAUAAUCUCGAGGUCCAUCCAUGUUGCUGCAAAUGGCAAUAUUUCAUUCUUUUUAAUGGCUGAGUAAUACUCCGUUGUAUAUAUAGAAUCAACCUAAAUGUCCUUUGAAAGAUGAAUGGAUAAAGAAGAUGUGGUACAUAUAUGCAGUGGGUGAUUCUUCAUACACUCCAGAGUUUGAGAACCAUUACAUCUGGGUUGACAAUACUCAAACCGGUUCCUGGCAACUUAAAAAGGAACUGACUCUAGACAGCAGUUCUCAACCUGUAUGCCCAUUGGGAUCACCCAAGGAGCCUUUCAGUCCCACUUACACAGGCCACUGUCCAGUUGAAAUGAAUCACAAUUUCUGGGGAUGGGGUCUGAGCAUCAAUACCAUCUUAAAAGCUCCUCAGUAAUUCAGAUUUGUAGUCCAGGCUGAGAACCACUGACUUUCAAAGAGUCCUCUGCCAUGACAUCAGCAAAUACAUUGUUUAUGUGUGUCUGCUCAUCUCUUUCCCACGUGGUACAGUAGGAACAUUGAGGACAGCCCUGGUGCCCAGAAACCAGCCCAGGGCCGUACACUGCUCUCCAUGCUCCAAGUGUGUUGGUUAGAAUUCUGAAUGAAUGAACCCCCUGUUUAUAUACAAGCGACCUGCCAAGAGAACUCAGGCCAGAAAGGCCCCACAUUUAAAUAUCUUGUACAAACACAGCCCCUGGUGGCAUUCAGGCCCUCACAGUGAGAGGGUAUUGAUUGAAGAAUUUGCAGAAUCAGCAUCCCAAGGAUAUCUGUUAAACAAUCUGUAGGACUGGAGUCCACUGCCAGUUGUAAUUUACUCCUCUGGGGAGAUGAGGAGUCCGGGGAAUGUUUGCCUUGCAGACCUUUGAGAACACCCAGGGAGGAAGCCAAUUAACACACAGUGAAGACCUACUAUGUGCUAGCCGUUUCCAUGUGCUCUCCCCUCCGGACAAACUUGCAUUCUCCCUGUCUGUCCCCAAGGGAGAAAUGGCAGCAGGUUGCCCCAGGUGGCAAGUGUGAAGGAGCUUGUUUGAUUCCAGAGCCCAAAUUCCUUUCCCAUAUUGAUUUUGCCACCACUCAGAUUUUCUGUAGCCACCCCUGCUCCCUCCAUCCCUUGCCUCCCCCUGCAGAGCUCCUGGCCAGAUACCUUGUUCCUCCUGGGCACGCAGGACUCCUCCCAGAGUGAAGUUUCAAGUUUCCCUGGGAAGUUCUUGCUGACUCCACGCCUUGACCGUGGGCCCAAUCCCCUUCACAACCGAUUGGGUUGCCGCCUCCCUCCUGGUGUCCUAUGCUGACCGUGAGGCUUAUCCUCAGAGCUCUGUGAGCAGCCAUUAACUUGGCUGUUCCUCUCUGUGGACAGGAGGCUCCUUGAGGGCAGGCACCGUGUCUUGCUCCUUCUUCUGUUCCCUUCGCCCCGUGUACUUGCUCGCCCUCUGGAGGCACCCAGCACUUUUUAAAACAAAAACAAAAACCAAAAAA
rnacentral:lncRNA from 1 species